rfam:Ciona savignyi cont_40780, whole genome shotgun sequence.
GCUUAUCACCAUUCCAGAUUGAAUAUACCCGAUCUCGUCUGAUCUCGGAAGUCAAGCAAUCUCCGGCCUGGUUAGUACUUGGAUGGGUGACCGCUU